GACAGAGGGUGCAAACGUUGUUCGGAAUUACUGGGCGUAAAGCGCGUGUAGGCGGCUAAGUAAGUCGGGCGUGAAAUCCCACGGCUCAACCGUGGAAGUGCACUCGAAACUGCAUAGCUAGAGUCCUGGAGAGGGAGGUGGAAUGCUUGGUGUAGAGGUGAAAUUCGUAGAUAUCAAGCGGAACACCGGUGGCGAAGGCGGCCUUCUGGACAGUGACUGACGCUGAGACGCGAAAACGUGGGGAGCAAACAGG
rnacentral:rRNA from 1 species